UUCAAUGUGUAAUUUGUUUUAUUUUUUAAAAAGUUGUGUAUAUGAUUUUAAUCAUCAAAUACUGUAAUAUCCUCGGACUCGGCAAAUUUGGGAAUAUCAUAGACGCAAAAAUCCACUAGGACGGAGGUUAUAUUUUCUAGUUUUGUAUUUGCCACAUCAUCAGUGUCCGUCGUUCCUAUUUCUAGUAGUUUGCAGGGGAGUUACACAUACCCCAUCAUUUCUUUUCUUCAUAUAUCACUCCAAAAUUAUACAUACAUGCGCCCAGCUGCCUGUCGUCUGCUAAAAAGUCGGCGAGUCGUACGGGAUACAUCGUGGACGAAGCAUGGAAGACGCGUUUGACGUUCUGGGGCAUUUGGUACCCGAAGUAUCUAUCAAAAUUCUGAGGAUGCUGGAUAUGAAAUCACUUGGGUCCGCAAGCAAGGUUUGCAAACACUGGAGGUCGUUAUGCUAUAGGGAUACUACCCUGAAGCGAAGAAUGAAAAGAUUUAGGGAGCUGCAAGUACUGAAGAAGAAGCUGCGGAGAGUUAGAAAAAAACUCGCGUAUAUUAAGAAGGAAAUAGCAGAAUUAGGAAAUAACCACAGCCUUAAACUAGUUUUUAUGGAAUCGUAGUGCCAGGAAUCUAAUUUUAGUUAGCUCUUGACUAAUAACAAAGCAGUGACUGAAUCUCUGCAGUAAUUUUGUACGGAUGAUGAGACUGUACUUUGGAAUAACAUGCACCACUAUUGUACCGUAACUCAAGUAAGAGGGGUCUUGAGCAAACUGAGAUUUCAAAAAUUGCUUCUGCUAGAGAACAGCUGCAAUGCAGACUUUGACAAAAGGGAAGAAUUUGUUGAAGUGGAAAAUAUUGAUCGUGAAGUGUGUUGCGUAACUUCCUGAAUAAGCAGUUUCACCAUACUUGUUUGUGAACUUCCAUUUGCAUCAUUUGGGAUUUUCACCAACGUGUGAAAAGCAGUCCUUACUAUAGUUUGUGAUCAGGUGCCCUCGAAUACAGGGCAUCAAUUUGUGACAAUGUGUAAUGUUUUUAACUUUAUUUUGUACGUUUAUUUGUAUU